UCAAUGAGAGAUGUUUGCACUAUGCAUGCAGCAUGCAUGCAGGGCCCAGGCCCGGGGUAAUUUAUCAAGUCAAUCAUCGUCAUCAGAUGCAUAGUCGUCACCAUCAUCCUCCAGCCAAGAAUGGGAACAUCUGCCAUGUGCGGAAUGCGAAUAAUGUAGGCAACGUGAGCAUUCGGUACAUUUAUUUUAUUAUUUCAAAUAAUGCAAAAAUAUUAAUACUGUACGUAUGCAACAUAAAAACCGUGAGCAAUUUAACUACUGAAAUAGACAACAUUCUAAAAUGCACUACAUACACAUUAAAUAAUAAUUAAAAACUAUGUAAAAUCCUCAAUUUAAACUAGUUUCAUACUGCUUUACUUAUUGUUAUUAAUGUGACAAAAAGCUUAAUCAAAAUUGGCAUUAAAAAUACUGUCUUAUACGAUUGCAAAUCAGUUUGUUUCUUGUAUCUCUAAGAGCAUAAAACAAAAAAAUAAAAUUAGAACGAAAAUUUUGCAAUACAGUAUAUACCGUAAUUGAUUUGAUAAACAUCCUGGAUGUUUCCUGAAAGACAAUGAUGGCAUGAGGAUGUACAUUCAGUCAAGAGGGCUGAUAGUUUCCAAUGGAAAACCAGUGGGGAUACAGGGGCGAACCCCUUGCAGUGUCCAGGGAGAAAAGCCCCAGGGUUUUACAGAAAGGCACAUUUGGUACAUCUUAGGCUGAUCUGAAGUGUUUUUGAGGUUAAUAUUGUGAAAGAAUUAAUAUCUUGUAAAUUGUUUUGGUCGAAGGAGUCAUGGCCUAUGGGGGGGGGGGGGGUUGGGUUUGAUUGGCCUGUCCAACAGGGGAUGAAGCCCCUGUAACCCUACUGUGUCCACCACUACCAAAAAAAAAAAAAAAAAAA